GCUUUUGAUGGGCGUCGACCGGCGCACGGGUGAGUAACGCGUAUCCAACCUGCCCACCACUUGGGGAUAACCUUGCGAAAGUAAGACUAAUACCCAAUGACGUCUCUAGAAGACAUCUGAAAGGGAUUAAAGAUUUAUCGGUGAUGGAUGGGGAUGCGUCUGAUUAGCUUGUUGGCGGGGUAACGGCCCACCAAGGCGACGAUCAGUAGGGGUUCUGAGAGGAAGGUCCCCCACAUUGGAACUGAGACACGGUCCAAACUCCUACGGGAGGCAGCAGUGAGGAAUAUUGGUCAAUGGACGAGAGUCUGAACCAGCCAAGUAGCGUGCAGGAAGACGGCCCUAUGGGUUGUAAACUGCUUUUAUAAGGGAAUAAAGUGAGUCUCGUGAGACUUUUUGCAUGUACCUUAUGAAUAAGGACCGGCUAAUUCCGUGCCAGCAGCCGCGGUAAUACGGAAGGUCCGGGCGUUAUCCGGAUUUAUUGGGUUUAAAGGGAGCGUAGGCCGGAGAUUAAGCGUGUUGUGAAAUGUAGACGCUCAACGUCUGCACUGCAGCGCGAACUGGUUUCCUUGAGUACGCACAAAGUGGGCGGAAUUCGUGGUGUAGCGGUGAAAUGCUUAGAUAUCACGAAGAACUCCGAU
rnacentral:rRNA from 1 species